rnacentral:rRNA from 1 species
GCCCUAGUAACGGCGAGUGAAGCGGCAACAGCUCAAAUUUGAAAUCUGGCGUCUUCGGCGUCCGAGUUGUAAUUUGCAGAGGGCGCUUUGGCAUUGGCAGCGGUCCAAGUUCCUUGGAACAGGACGUCACAGAGGGUGAGAAUCCCGUACGUGGUCGCUAGCCUUUACCGUGUAAAGCCCCUUCGACGAGUCGAGUUGUUUGGGAAUGCAGCUCUAAAUGGGAGGUAAAUUUCUUCUAAAGCUAAAUACUGGCCAGAGACCGAUAGCGCACAAGUAGAGUGAUCGAAAGAUGAAAAGCACUUUGGAAAGAGAGUUAAAAAGCACGUGAAAUUGUUGAAAGGGAAGCGCUUGCAGCCAGACUUGCCUGUAGUUGCUCAUCCGGGUUUUUACCCGGUGCACUCUUCUAUAGGCAGGCCAGCAUCAGUUUGGGCGGUUGGAUAAAGGUCUCUGUCAUGUACCUCUCUUCGGGGAGAACUUAUAGGGGAGACGACAUGCAACCAGCCUGGACUGAGGUCCGCGCAUCUGCUAGGAUGCUGGCGUAAUGGCUGUAAGCGGCCCGUCUUGAAACACGGACCAAGGAGUCUAACAUCUAUGCGAGUGUUUGGGUGUCAAGCCCGAGCGCGUAAUGAAAGUGAACGGAGGUGGGAACCUUUCGGGGUGCACCAUCGACCGAUCCUGAUGUCUUCGGAUGGAUUUGAGUAAGAGCAUAGCUGUUGGGACCCGAAAGAUGGUGAACUAUGCUUGAAUAGGGUGAAGCCAGAGGAAACUCUGGUGGAGGCUCGCAGCGGUUCUGACGUGCAAAUCGAUCGUCAAAUUUGGGCAUAG